rnacentral:rRNA from 1 species
CAGCCGCCACGGUAAUACGGAGGAUCCGAGCGUUAUCCGGAAUUAUUGGGUUUAAAGGGUGCGUAGGCGGAUAGAUAAGUCAGUGGUGAAAGACGGUGGCUCAACCAUCGCAGUGCCGUUGAUACUGUUUAUCUUGAAUAUGGAUGAGGUAGGCGGAAUGUGGCAAGUAGCGGUGAAAUGCAUAGAUAUGCCACAGAACACCGAUUGCGAAGGCAGCUUACCAAGGCAAAAUUGACGCUGAGGCACGAAAGCGUGGGGAUCGAACAGGAUUAGAUACCCGAGUAGUCCCUGUCUCUUAUAC